GACAAUUAUUAGAAGGAAAUGGUCGAGAACUUGGAUGUGAGGGUGCCCUGGUGUGGGAGGCGCCGCGGCCUCGGCAGACCAGACGGACUCCAAUGUGGAAGGGAGCAAGAAGGAAGGGACAAUUUUUUUUCGGGUCGAUUGUUGCUGUUUUGGGUUGGUUACCACAUCAACUAGGUUGUGUUCUCCUUUAAGCUCUCGAUCUCUUGACGGCGCUGCUGCUCCUGGUGACAUGGUUUUAAAUAGGGCAUUACCAAAGAUUUUGAUUUGCUGUGAAGGACACAAUUAUUUGAGCACGGAAGGCAACAAAGGUGCAUGAUCUCAUGAA